UAACGAGGAACAAUUGGAGGGCAAGUCUGGUGCCAGCAGCCGCGGUAAUUCCAGCUCCAAUAGCGUAUAUUAAAGUUGUUGUGGUUAAAAAGCUCGUAGUUGAACCUUGGGCCUGGCUGGCCGGUCCCCCUCACCGGGUGCACUGAUCCAGCCGGGCCUUUCCCUCUGUGGAACCCCAUGGCCUUCACUGGCUGUGGCGGGGGAACAGGACUUUUACUUUGAAAAAAUUAGAGUGCUCCAGGCAGGCCUAUGCUCGAAUACAUUAGCAUGGAAUAAUAGAAUAGGACGGGGGGUUCUAUUUUUUUGGGUUCUUGGACCGCCGUAAGGGUUUAUAGGGACAGUCGGGGGGAUCCAGUUUCA
rnacentral:rRNA from 1 species